rnacentral:rRNA from 1 species
UACAGAGGGUGCAAGCGUUGUUCGGAAUUAUUGGGCGUAAAGGGCGCGUAGGCGGUGCUGUAAGUCUGUAGUGAAAUCUCUGGGCUCAACUCAGAGUCUGCUAUAGAAACUGCAGUGCUGGAGUGUGGGAGAGGUGAGUGGAAUUCCCGGUAUAGCGGUGAAAUGCGUAGAUAUCAAGUGGAACACCAGUGGCGAAGGCGAGUCUCUGGACAUUUCCUGACGCUGAGGCACGAAAGCCAGGGGAGCAAACGGG